UGAAUACGAGACGCUAAGGCGUCGAAGUAGUGUAUGUCAUACUUCCAAGAAAAGCUUGCACUGUCAUAGAUAAAAAACGCCUGUACCAUAACCGACACAGGUGGGUAGGUAGAGUAUACUAAGGGGCGCGAGAUAACUCUCUCUAAGGAACUCGGCAAAAUAACUCCGUAACUUCGGGAGAAGGAGUGCCUUAUUCUUAAGGUUGCAAUAACAAGAUCCAAGCAACUGUUUAUCAAAAACACAGGUCUCCGCUAAGUCGUAAGACGAUGUAUGGGGGCUGACGCCUGCCCAGUGCCUGAAGGUUAAAGAAGCUGGUUAGCAAUUGCGAAGCUGGUGACUGAAGCCCUGGUGAACGGCGGCCGUAACUAUAACGGUCCUAAGGUAGCGAAAUUCCUUGUCGGGUAAGUUCCGACCCGCACGAAAGGCGUAAUGAUUUGGAUACUGUCUCGGAGAGGGGCUCGGUGAAAUAGACUUGUCUGUGAAGAUGCAGACUACCUGCACCAGGACAGAAAGACCCUAUGAAGCUUUACUGUAACUUGAAAUUGAAAUUGGACUUUAUUCGCGCAGCAUAGGUGGGAGGCGUUGAUUAUAAUCUUGCGGGAUUAUUGGAGCCAUUAGUGAGAUACCACUCUUGUAAUGUUAGAUUUCUAACUUUGAAUCAUUAUCUGGUCAAAGGACAGUUUCAGGCGGGCAGUUUGACUGGGGCGGUCGCCUCCCAAACGGUAACGGAGGCGUACAAAGGUUUCCUCUGAACGGUUAGAAAUCGUAUCUAGAGUGUAAAGGCAUAAGGAAGCUUGACUGUGAGACCUACAAGUCGAGCAGGGACGAAAGUCGGUCUUAGUGAUCUGACGGUACUGAGUGGAAAGGCCGUCACUCAACGGAUAAAAGUUACUCUAAGGAUAACAGGCUGAUCUCCCCCAAUUUCACAUCGACGGGGAGGUUUGGCACCUCGAUGUCGGCUCAUCGCAUCCUGGGGCGGUAGUACGUCCCAAGGGUUGGGCUGUUCGCCCAUGAAAGCGGUACGCGAGCUGGGUUCAGAACGUCGUGAGACAGUUCGGUCCAUAUCCGGUGUAGGCGUUAGAAUAUUGAGAGGAGCCUUCUUUAGUACGAGAGGACCGAGAAGGACAUACCUCUGGUGUACCAGUUAUCGUGCCAACGGUAAACGCUGGGUAGCUAUGUAUGGAGUGGAUAACCGCUGAAAGCAUCUAAGUGGGAAGCCCACCUCAAGAUAAG
rnacentral:rRNA from 1 species